rnacentral:rRNA from 1 species
GACGAACGCUGGCGGCGUGCUUAACACAUGCAAGUCGAACGGAGUGGCGAACGGGUGAGUAACACGUGGGUGAUCUGCCUUGCACUUCGGGAUAAGCUUGGGAAACUGGGUCUAAUACCGGAUAGUGCAAGAUGAGCUCGCGGCCUAUCAGCUUGUUGGUGGAGUAAUGGCCUACCAAGGCGUCGACGGGUAGCCGGCCUGAGAGGGUGUACGGCCACAGUGGGAAUGAGAUACGGGCCAGAGUCCUACGGGAGACAGCAGAGGGGAAGAUUGCCCAAUGGGCGGAAGCCUGAUGCAGGAACGACGCGUGGUGGGUGAAGGCCUUCGGGUUGAAAACUCCUUUCGACAGGGACGCGGUACCUGUAUAAGAAGCACCGGCUAACUACGUGCCAGCAGCCGCGGUAAUUC